rnacentral:rRNA from 1 species
CCUACGGGUGGCAGCAGUGAGGAAUAUUGGUCAAUGGACGAGAGUCUGAACCAGCCAAGUAGCGUGAAGGAUGACUGCCCUAUGGGUUGUAAACUUCUUUUAUAUGGGAAUAAAAUGUUUCACGUGUGGGAUUUUGUAUGUACCAUAUGAAUAAGGAUCGGCUAACUCCGUGCCAGCAGCCGCGGUAAUACGGAGGCUCCGAGCGUUAUCCGGAUUUAUUGGGUUUAAAGGGAGCGUAGGUGGAUGGUUAAGUCAGUUGUGAAAGUUUGCGGCUCAACCGGAAAAUUGCAGUGGAAACUGGCAGGCUUGAGUACAGGAGAGGUAGGCGGAAUUCGUGGUGUAGCGGUGAAAUGCUUAGAUAUGACGAAGAACUCCGAUUGCGAAGGCAGUUCACUGGACUGCAACUGACGCUGAGGCUCGAAAGUGUGGGUAUCGAACAGGAUUAGAUACCCGGGUAGUC